UAACACGUGGGCAAUCUGCCCUGCACUCUGGGACAAGCCCUGGAAACGGGGUCUAAUACCGGAUACUGACCCUCGCAGGCAUCUGCGAGGUUCGAAAGCUCCGGCGGUGCAGGAUGAGCCCGCGGCCUAUCAGCUUGUUGGUGAGGUAAUGGCUCACCAAGGCGACGACGGGUAGCCGGCCUGAGAGGGCGACCGGCCACACUGGGACUGAGACACGGCCCAGACUCCUACGGGAGGCAGCAGUGGGGAAUAUUGCACAAUGGGCGAAAGCCUGAUGCAGCGACGCCGCGUGAGGGAUGACGGCCUUCGGGUUGUAAACCUCUUUCAGCAGGGAAGAAGCGAAAGUGACGGUACCUGCAGAAGAAGCGCCGGCUAACUACGUGCCAGCAGCCGCGGUAAUACGUAGGGCGCAAGCGUUGUCCGGAAUUAUUGGGCGUAAAGAGCUCGUAGGCGGCUUGUCGCGUCGGUUG
rnacentral:rRNA from 1 species